GGCCUGCUAGCUCAGUCGGUUAGAGCGUCGUGCUAAUAACGCGAAGGUCGUAGGUUCGAUCCCUGCGCAGGCCA
rfam:Ixodes scapularis strain Wikel colony gcontig_1108379508482, whole genome shotgun sequence.